UGAGGAAUAUUGGUCAAUGGGCGAGAGCCUGAACCAUCCAAGUAGCGUGCAGGAUGACGGCCCUAUGGGUUGUAAACUGCUUUUAUGUGGGGAUAAAGUGCGUGACGUGUCAUGCAUUGCAGGUACCACAUGAAUAAGGACCGGCUAAUUCCGUGCCAGCAGCCGCGGUAAUACGGAAGGUCCGGUCGUUAUCCGGAUUUAUUGGGUUUAAAGGGAGCGUAGGCUGUCUAUUAAGCGUGUUGUGAAAUAUACCGGCUCAACCGGUGGCUUGCAGCGCGAACUGGUCGACUUGAGUAUGCAGGAAGUAGGCGGAAUUCAUGGUGUAGCGGUGAAAUGCUUAGAUAUCAUGACGAACUCCGAUUGCGCAGGCAGCUUACUGUAGCAUAACUGACGCUGAUGCUCGAAAGUGCGGGUAUCAAACAGG
rnacentral:rRNA from 1 species